rnacentral:rRNA from 1 species
AGAGUUUGAUCCUGGCUCAGGAUGAACGCUAGCUGGAGGCUUAAUACAUGCAAGUCGAGCGGGAUUGGAGUAGCAAUACUUCAUGAGAGCGGCGAACGGGUGAGUAACGCGUACACGACCUACCUUUGACUGGGGGAUAGCCCUGGGAAACUGGGAUUAAUACCGCAUAUAAUUCUGAUAAGUAAAGAGAUUGGAAUGAAAGUUCAGGCGGUCAAAGAUGGGUGUGCGUCUGAUUAGCUAGUUGGUAGGGUAACGGCCUACCAAGGCGAUGAUCAGUAGGGGGCGUGAGAGCGUGGUCCCCCACACGGGUACUGAGACACGGACCCGACUCCUACGGGAGGCAGCAGUAAGGAAUAUUGGACAAUGGCCGCAAGGCUGAUCCAGCCAUCCAGCGUGCAGGAAGAAGGCCCUAUGGGUUGUAAACUGCUUUUAUCAGGGAAGAAACCUCUCGAUUCAUCGGGAGCUGACGGUACCUGAAGAAUAAGCACCGGCUAACUCCGUGCCAGCAGCCGCGGUA